rnacentral:siRNA from 1 species
ACGAUAGUGGCGUCGUGAGU